AGCGAACGCUGGCGGCAGGCCUAACACAUGCAAGUCGAACGGCAGCACAGUAAGAGCUUGCUCUUACGGGUGGCGAGUGGCGGACGGGUGGGGAACACAUCGGAACCUACUUUUUAGUGGGGGAUAACGUAGGGAAACUUACGCUAAUACCGCAUACGACCUACGGGGGAAAGCAGGGGAUCUUCGGACCUUGCGCGACUGAAUGAGCCGAUGCCGGAUUAGCUAGUUGGCGGGGUAAAGGCCCACCAAGGCGACGAUCCGUAGCUGGGCUGAGAGGAUGAUCAGCCACACUGGAACUGGAACACGGUCCAGACUCCUACGGGAGGCAGCAGUGGGGAAUGUUGGGCAAUGGGCGCGAGCCUGAUCCAGCCAUACCGCGUGGGUGAAGGAGGCCUUCGGGUUGUAAAGCCCUUUUGUUGGGAAAGAAAAGCAGCAAGUUAAUACCCCGCUGUUCUGACGGUACCCAAAGAAUAAGCACCGGCUAACUUCGUG
rnacentral:rRNA from 1 species